rnacentral:lncRNA from 1 species
UAUAUUAAGUAACAAAUGCAAUGAAAACAUAUAUAAGAAGGUGAAGACAAAGUAAAAGAGGAGGUGGAACAGAACAGUUUUUUACACUUGCUUAUUUUCUUUGAUAUUUCUGUGACAAUUAUUAUACAAAUUAGAUUGAUACAAUUUCCUUUUGGAGCAUCAACCAGGUCACCAGAAAUCAAGCAUGAAAAUUAAAGGGUUUCUAAACUAAUUAAGCCUCAUGAAAUUACAUAAACACCCCGUCAUCAUUAACAUGUUUUAGAAGCUGUGAGAAUCCUCACUAUGAUGUUGAUCCUACACCUGCUACAUAAUCCAAGAGUCCCUCACCAGCUUUCUCACCAUGAAGAUCAUGAUGGUGAGAUAAUUCAUCAGUUGAGAACUUUGAAACCCCUCCAAAGGCUAUUAUUGCAACCAAGAAGACUGUUGUGGAAGCAAACAAUGGCCAGAAAUAUGCCAAUAUUGUAACAAAUCUUGGUGCUGCAUACAACAUCAAAGACAAUAAAACUGAAAUUGCUAUCACUGUGCUUAUAUGGUAUCUAUACCUUAGAAGCCUUUCUGAUACAUCCAUGGAUUAGUAUUACAACAAGCACCUUGAUUAACUCUAGAGAAAUAAGAGAGAAGAAUAAUAAGGGAAAAAGGGAGAAUAAAUAAAGAUGUGUAUAGUGUAACAACAUUGGAGUUGGCAAAGUAUUAUAUAUGUGUGAAGAGAUUCUUUAUGCUCUCAAUGAUGUUUCAAAUGUUACUUGCCCCAUAUGCCAAUUAUUUUUAACAUACUG